rnacentral:rRNA from 1 species
UACAGGGGGGGCAAGCGUUGUCCGGAAUCAUUGGGCGUAAAGAGCGUGUAGGCGGCCCGGUAAGUCCGCUGUGAAAGUCCAGGGCUCAACCCUGGGAUGCCGGUGGAUACUGUCGGGCUCGAGUCCGGAAGAGGAGUGUGGAAUUCCUGGUGUAGCGGUGAAAUGCGCAGAUAUCAGGAGGAACACCAAUGGCGAAGGCAGCACUCUGGGACGUGACUGACGCUGAGACGCGAAAGCGUGGGGAGCAAACAGG